GACUCUUAGCGGUGGAUCACUCGGCUCGUGCGUCGAUGAAGAACGCAGAACGCAGCUAGCUGCGAGAAUUAAUGUGAAUUGCAGGACACAUUGAUCAUCGAACGCACUUGCGGCCCCGGGUUCCUCCCGGGGCUACGCCUGUCUGAGCGUCG
rnacentral:rRNA from 1 species